AUUUCAAAAUAAUGUUGUGUAGACAUACCCUAAAUGAAUAUGGCAUUUUUGCAUACUCAUAGAGGCUGUAAUAUACCUAAAGUUCUUGCCAUGUUACUUAUCCUCACUUGUGUUAUACUGUGGAGGUGCAUGUGGUCUGUUUGGAGUCUAUUUUGUAACUUAGAGUUGAGGAUUUUUUUGUGAUUUGUUUGUUCUUAGUUUGUUUCUUAAUGCUUUCAUAAUCAUAUAGUAGUUUUGUAUUUUAGUAAAUUAUUGGUAUUAUAAAUGGCUGCAUACUGAAUAUGCAGCAUCCCAAUGGUUUUGGGAAGAGACACUUUAUAAAAUACAUUAUUUAUAUUUACUUUCUACCACAAUUUUUGAAACACACAAACCUGUACCCAGAAAUUACAUCAUUUUUUCUUCAGCAGAGAAAUGAAGACAAAGAUUAAAUGAAUCAUAUUUCACACAUGUAAUAAUCCAAAUUAGUGGAUUAUUACAUAACUACUUUGCAGUGUUAACCCACUCACUAAAGAAUAAAAUGGAACCCAUGAAUCUUUUCCUGUUGAGUAGAAAUGCAAAAAUAGUUAAAGGUGAUGGAGCAUAUUGUUGCAACUAAUGUUCCUGUCUGCACUUGUGUAAGUAAUGCAGCUAAGGACAGAGCUAUGCAUAUGAGCUUUCUGAGCAGACAAGAAUGAGCUGUUUGGUGUGUGAUCUGACUGUUUCCAAAUCAUCCCUAUUGUUCUUGAACAAAUUAUUGUUGUUUCAUUUUGUCUUAUUUUAUUUUAUGGAAAUCUAAGUGGCUGGUUUGUGAUUCUUCAACACCCAACAAAGACUAACUGCAUCCCAUGCUGCUGAAUGUUUCUGCUCGAGAAACAACCAAAGCUAUUUUCAAUAUUUGUAACGAAACCCUGUGCUUUGGCAGCUACACCUGAGCACCAUCUCUGCUUGUACAAAACCAACGUACAGCUUGCUGUAAAUUUGAGAAAGUUAGCAAUAUCAUUCCAGUGAACACCACAGACCAAACUGGCACUUGAUUACUACAAAGAUGGAUGCAUUUGAGGAAAAUAAGCAGUUAGUUAGAUCAAGAGUCUGGCUGUAGUAGAUGAAGACUGGGAAAGAAAAAUCCAGCAUUACUCUCAGCAAUUGAAACUCCAGAGUUUAACAGAGUUAAAUGAACAUGCACAGGGACUGCAUAUUUCUAUCCACCUGUGUCAUUCCUUAUCUUCUGUUGUCUAAGGAAACAUUUCAAUAAUAACGGGUUCUGAUCUAAAGCAGUACCUUUCCCACUUCUGGGGAAGCGAUGGCAAUGUAAUGAUAAUUUGGUGCACUGCUGAGGUUCAAACCUAUUGCUUGUCUUUGGAGGACUUGCAGUUAAUGGGCAUAUUGCUCCCUCUUUCUGCAGUCUGGGGAGACUCCCCCUCGUCCCCGCAAGUGUGUGUCUGUCUGUCUCUCUCUCACGAAAUCCAGGCCAAUAAAAAAGAGCUGAACAACGUUCCGCUUCCAAAUUAUACUGAGCGCUGACGCAGCACUUUCCUCCCAGUGAUCUCAGAGCGUGUGCAACGAUUAUGUAGACCAUGCUGCCAACCUUAUUUGGAAGUUGUAUGACCUACAGCUCAUUUCUACUCCCACUGGUGUCUGAGGGAAAACUCUCUGGAUAAAAGUAGAACUGAAGAGGACUCCACUCCCUGAAGGAUUCUAAAGCCACGCCUUGUAGUAAGAAGCAUGGUUCUUGGAGCCAAAAUGCUCACAUUAACAAACUGGGCUUUGAAGCUGAUGUUUUAUUAAGUUUCUAAGAGACAAUGUCCCUUUCUGCAACUAAAAGAAAUAUGAAUGAACUUCUUGUGUGUUUGCUGGGGGUUAAGCCAAUAUCCUGGCCUGCACAAAGGCCAAGUGUAUCCACCAUCUUAGUCAAAACUCAGUCAGGAAGCCAACAAUGUUUUAUCCUGUAGCUCAACUCAACUGGGCAGGAAAACUUCAUGUGACCUGUAUCCAGAAAGCUACAAGUCCUUUGAUGAAAUGAUUUAUUGACAAUGACCCUGAUUGUCUGGCUGAUAUUUGGUUCCUGGUGGAGGCCAGUGAAUGGAGAGAACAAAGGUAGCUUUAAGCCAUUCUUUUCAUUUACCAGAUUCUAGGUCCUGCCUGAGACUUGUUUAGUUCACAGUAUAGAUUACAGAAGAGAAGGGGCAGUGUUUGCAAUCAGGUAUAGACAAUCAAGAGCUCAGGUCUUGAGAUACUGAACAAUUUUCAACCAAAAUUUUACUUCUAAAAAAUGCUGUUUGUCAGAUUCCAAACAGCUUUAACAAAACAUUUUGCUUUAUGGUAAACUUUCAGAUAAUUUUUAGUGAGAAAAUUCAAGCCUUGGAUAAAACUCCAAGUUUCCAUGAGAACAUUUUCAACAUUACUUUGUUCUAGUUUUGUUUCCAUGAAAAGUCAGCCAGACUUUUCAGCCAGCUCCAGAUAGCUCUUCAGGUGUAGGUUCUGUCUGCCACAAAAAUUCUUUUACAAGGUAUUUACAUAGCUUAGCUAACCAUAACUUAAUUUCGUUAUUUCAUUUAAGGAUAGCUUUGAAGUAAUUUUUGUUUUUAACAUACAUUUUCAAAAGCCUAAAUCUGAAUUUCUCUUCUGGGAUUUUUGAUCUCAGUCACUUUAAGAGUGCACUGAGGAAAGCAGAACAUGACCAAAGGACAGAGGGUUAUAUCAGAGAUCUGAAGGUCAUGGUAAUGGAGUGGGAGAGACUGAAAUGGAGGUUUAGAAGGGGAUCCAAAAUCCUGUUAGAAUAUAAAGAUUGAAUCCAAAGAUGAACCCUAAGUUAAGAUGUUCCCUUCUUAGUACCCACUAUUGAUAGCUAUAGAAUAAAUAGAAAUCUUUUAUUGCUUCAUAACCAAUAGCUGGAAUGGGUAGCAUGUUUUUGGUCCAUUAUUUUAACAUUUGCUCCUGGAUUGAAUAUAGAAUACUCUAUCUUGAGUGUCCAUCAGUGAUUUAAAAACAAAGAACAAUUCUCAAGUAAGCCAGGGAUUUUAUAGUAGCCCAUUACCUUAUUUAAAAAGCAAAAUAAGGAAGCAAUAAAAACCUAGUAUAUGGCCAUAUGAAAGCUAUACUAAAUUGGCUAGACAAAUUCCAUUUAUCAGCAAGAUGAUAGAGAUGGAAGUGAAGUGGUAAAGAGAUAAAUUGUAAAUUACUUUUUACUAGUGGUUAUGCUUAGAGCUGUUCUGUGGAGCUCAGAUCAGAUCUUCAAAACUGUUACUAUAAUCCACUGAGCUUUGCUCCAUUGCGCAGCCUCACCUGAAGCAGCUGGAUUCCAUUCCUUUAUCAGUCUUUCUUGAGCGGAGCAGAUUAUAAAAGCGACAGCUUGAAAUCAUACAGAUAAAGCACUAGCUGAAGAGGCUGGAAUGAUAAGAAAAGUCUUUGCCAGUGGAGGCAAUCCAAGAUUUAUUUGAAACUAUAAACAUUUUACAAAGAUACAUCAUGCAUAAAAGGAGAAACCCUUAUGUGGCAGAAUCCAUGUCAGUUUUCUGCAGAGAACAAAGACUAAAAAGCCCAAAAUGCUUUAUACAC